GAUGAACGCUGGCGGCGUGCUUAAUACAUGCAAGUCGAGCGAACAGAUGAGGAGCUUGCUCCUCUGACGUUAGCGGCGGACGGGUGAGUAACACGUGGAUAACCUACCUAUAAGACUGGGAUAACUUCGGGAAACCGGAGCUAAUACCGGAUAAUAUAUUGAACCGCAUGGUUCAAUAGUGAAAGACGGUUUUGCUGUCACUUAUAGAUGGAUCCGCGCCGCAUUAGCUAGUUGGUAAGGUAACGGCUUACCAAGGCAACGAUGCGUAGCCGACCUGAGAGGGUGAUCGGCCACACUGGAACUGACACGGUCCAGACUCCUACGGGAGGCAGCAGUAGGGAAUCUUCCGCAAUGGGCGAAAGCCUGACGGAGCAACGCCGCGUGAGUGAUGAAGGUCUUCGGAUCGUAAAACUCUGUUAUUAGGGAAGAACAAAUGUGUAAGUAACUAUGCACGUCUUGACGGUACCUAAUCAGAAAGCCACGGCUAACUACGUG
rnacentral:rRNA from 1 species